GGUGGGUGUGUGUGUGUGUGUGUGUGUGUGUGUGUGUGUGUGUGUGUGUGUGUGUGUGUGUGUGUGUGUGUGUGUGUGUGUGUGUGUGUGUGUGUGUGUGUGUGUGUGUGUGUGUGUGUGUGUGUGUGUGUGUGUGAGAGAGAGAUGUAAUGGGUUACAGGUGAGCCUCCACUCUCCGGGUCAUUUUUCUGUUUAAACAGCAGUGGAGAUGAUUGGCUUAUGUUGCUGCUUUGGGUCUGAAUAGGCUGAUGAUGAAACUCUCAAUCAGCAAUGGAUAAGUCAAUCAAUGUAUCAAUCAGAUUUUCCACAACAACAAGACACUGAGACCGGAUAUGGAUGAAAUAUAGAGACCACAGUCUGAAAUGUAUUUAAAAUUGAUGUUCAGCAUGUUUGAUGAGUCUCAGAUUAAGGGUAACUGUGUGUUGGCUUAGAGGUUUUAGAUUUUUUAAUUUCCAAGAUCAAACUGAGCCGGUCCACAACCCUUUGCACUGUGAGAACUGUAGACUCCACCUGUGUGUGUGCGUGUGUGUGUGUGUGUGUCUGCGUGUGCUUGCUGUGUUCAAGAGGUUGAUGGGAGGGUUAACUGUUAACUGUUGCAAAGAAUAGAGAUCACCUAUACUCCUUUAGAAUGGAUACAUGACAAUAUUAACGCAAUAUCAUAUUACUCUCUACUAAGGAAUGCAACUGUGCACAUGCACAGAAAAUGUUUUUAUGAAAAUAUAUGACAAAAUAUAUUGAAUUAGAAUGCUAUGCACCCUUAUAGAGUUGUUAUAGAUGUUCUUUAAGCAUAUUAACUAGACUAUAGGCAAACGCCCUCAUCAUGGGGACUGUAGAGGCUUUGUGGGUAUUUCAACUUGUUUACUUUUCUUUUUUAUUGUCAUGGAGAGAGGGAAAAACAAACAUGAAUAUGUAUACAAACCUUUGUUUCAAUCAGAUUCAUUUUGACACGAAGAUAUGUAUAGAUCAGGGUUCCCCAACUUGUGGCCUGCGGGUGAUUUUAUUUGCUCCCCCCCCCCCCCCCACACACACAGUUUUCUGAGCCGAAACACGUUUCAUUUUUUUGUUGGACAUAAAAGUGUGAAAACACAAGCAAAUCAGCUCCAAGUGAUUUUCAUUUUGCAAAUAUGUUCCAAAGUAUUCCCACACAUAAUAGAGAGACAGUACCAGUACAACGUUUGGACACAGCUACUCAUUCAAGGGUUUUUCUUUAUUUGUACUAUGUUCUACAUUGUAGAAUAAUAGUAAAAAUAAAGAAAAACCCUGGAAUGAGUAGCUGUGUCCAAACGUUGUACUAGUACUGUCUAUGUGAUCAUAUACAAAUGUAAGCAAGGUUUGAAAUUAUUAUGUUUUAAUCAAAAUGUUAUAUCUGUUUGGGCUUCUUGCGGUCAAUUUGCAGUCUACAAAUUAUUUUUUGAUAUGUUCUGGCCCCUUGACCAUCCGCUCAAGAAAAAAUUGACCCGCGGCUGAAUCCUAGUUGAUAAUCCCUGGUGUAGAUCAUCUACCAUGUACACCAGCUCCAACCAUUUACAGCAAUUAAUAAAGAAAGAUGUGAACAUAACUGAUGUGUUGUCUUACACACUUUGAUGUGUUUGAGAAUCAAAUGUAAAUUGAUGUACAUUUGGAAAUGUAACUCUAUGGGCAUGUGUACAGUAUAAAGCAGUGGCAGUCAGUGCCGUUUAAGAUGAGGACCAUUUUUCUUUUCAUGAGCAUGGCCUUAUUUCUAUUACUGCAUACUGGAUGACUGUCAUUCAUAUUCCAUUCACCCAGUUAAAUGUAACAAUAAUAGGUUUAGGCUACUACAUGAUACUCUAAUUUGAGAAAGAUUUGAGGUGACAAGCAGUGACACAUGCACAGACAGUGACACAUUCAAUACCGCCUUUCACCCUCUUGCCUGCAUCUAGCUGAUAUAGGGUGUAAUCAUUAGUCCAACAGUUGCAAACAAGAGUUUUUAUUAGAUAAUUUCAGGUAUGUUUAUCCACGUUUGUUCCAUUUACUUCCGUUUAAGAAACGUUUUUCAUCAGAAUCGGCGGAAUGAAUACACCCCUGAUCCUGUGUAAACACAGUACACUUUCAUAGCAGGCACGUUGUAUUUCUUCUCACAUCUAUGCGCUCUCCUCCUCUCACCUUUUCCUUUCGCUUGUGGACUUCAAUGCACAACACAUCAGCUGUAUGUAACCAGGCGAAAACAAACUUUCCAAGCCAAACCAUAUUAUAACCGGUACACACAGCCUACGUUGUUGUCACCAUAUUAGCUAAAGUAAAGUCAUAGUCAACAUAGCUAAUAGAACUAACGAGUUAGUAAAUCCGCUACAAUCAUGCAGUAACUUUACAGUAUACAGUCAGUAAGCAGGUUAGCAUUUACACCGGCGGGCCCCGGUGGCAAUAAAUUGGUCAAACCAAAAGCUUACCUUGACUUAGAAGAGUUCCAGUGUUGUGUUGGAUAGUCAUAGCCAGCAAGCUAACAUAGUGUCCCUCUAUUUGAGCAGGGUGUUUGAGUAGGCUAAACUAGCUAGCCGCAUUUGCUAGCUAAGUAAGUGAAAAACAUGAUGGAAUCUCUCUCAUCCCCUCUUUCUUCUCCUUCAUUAAGGAAGAAAUUCAAUUUUCCAGUGCUUAACUAUUGUCUUUCUCUCUCUUUCAGUUAACUACUCACCAGAUGUUAUGCACUGCAGUGCUAGCUAGCGGUAGCUUAUGCUUUCAGUACUAGAUUCAUUCUCUGAUCCAUUGAUUGGGUGGACAACAUGUCAGUUCGUGCUGCAAGAGCUCUAAUAGGUUGGAGAUGUCCUCCGGAAGUUGUCAUAAUUACUGUGUUAAUUAAGUCUACGGAAGUGGGUGAGAACCAUGAGCCUCCUAGGUUUUGUAUUGAAGUCAAUGUUCCCAGAGGAGGACGGAAUCUAGCUGUCCUCCGGCUACACCAGGUGCUACCUUACAGAGUGCUGUUGAGGCUACUGUAGACCUUCAUUGCAAAAUAGUGUGUCUUAAUCAAUUAUUGUGUGAAAAUGAUUAUAUUUAGGAUAGUUUUAUCUAAAAAGGAUAACUUUUUAAAUGUUGUACAAUUUAAAAAGAAAAAAAUGAAAUUCACUGAGAAGGAUGGCCUCCACUGGUAUAAAGGUAUUUACAUUGGUGCAAAACAUUUAUCAGGCAGAGAGUGGAUCUUAUUCUUGUUUCAAAGACUAUGUAUAGCCAUACAUAGGCUAUACAUAUACUCUCACAGGGAUAUUGAUAUCUUCAUUUUUCCAGUUUACAUAGUUAUUUAGGCUAUUUUAUAUUCCUCUACAUGGGUGUUAGUAUCAUGACACACGACAAGACCCAGAUGCAGAUACAGGAGACAGAUGGUUGGAGUCUAAGAUGUUUAAUAAUCCAAAAAAAGAGUAGGCAAGAGAAUGGUCAUGGACAGGCAAAAGGUCAAAACCAGAUCAGAGUCCAGGAGGUACAGAGUGGCAGACAGGCUCGAGGUCAAGGCAGGCAGAAUGGUCAGGCAGGCGGGUACAGAGUCCAGAAACAGGCAAGGUCAAACCUGGGAGGACUAGAAAAAGGAGAAUAGCAAAGGCAGGAGAACGGGAAAAAACGCUGGUUGACUUGGACGAACUGGCACAGAGAGACAGGAAACACAGGGAUAAAUACACUGGGGAAAACAAGUGACACCAGGAGGGGGUGGAGACAUAACAAGGACAGGUAAAACAGAUCAGGGCGUGACAGUUAGAGGAUUCAAUAAAACUACAACUUGCUGUAUGUAACCUCUCCCUUCUUUGGUCUCCAAUAUUUCAGCCAAUCAAAGCUGGCACUCCUGGCAGUGUUUUUUUGAGGAGUGCCACUUGCUGUUUGUGUAUUGGAGGCACGUGGAGGGCAAGCAGUUACGACAGAUCAUAAACGAUUGAAUGUCAAGAAAAACGGUGACAUUUAGAUGCACAUUUUUCUCGCCGUCUGUCAGCAGCUAUAGGCCUACGCUUGAUCUUGUUUACGAAGUGCAUGGUUUUCUAGCUGUUUAGUAGUUUGUCUUCAUAGUUCGAAGGAUGUCUUCAGGUACUGGUAGUCACACUACUAGUUGGGGAAUCCCUAUCACCCACAGUGUCACCAUCAAUAAUACAUCAAGAGUAUUCUACAACACCAGGAGGAAGACUCUUUAGUAUGACCCCUAGACCCACUCCAAUUUGCAUACUGACCCAACAGAUCCACAAAUGAAGCAAUCGUACUCCACACUGCACUUUUCCACCUGGACAAAAGGAACACCUAUGUGAGAUUGCUGUUCAUUGACUACAGUUCAGCGUUCAACACCAUAGUGCCCACAAAGCUCAUCACUAAGCUAAGAACCCUGGGACUAAACACCUUCCUCUGCAACUCGAUCCUGGACAUGGUAAGGGUAAGCAACAACACAUCUGCCACGCUAAUCCUCAACACGGGGGCCCCUCAGGGGUGCGUGCUUAGUCCUCUAUUGUACUCCCUGUUCACCCACGACUGCAGGGCCAAGCAUGACUCCAACACCAUCAAUAAGUUUGCUGACAACACAGCGGUGGUAGGCUUGAUCCCGACAACGAUGAGACAGCCUAUAGGGAGGAGGUCAGAGACCUGGCAGUGUGGUGCCAGGACAACAACCUCUCCCUCAAUGUGGGCAAGACAAAGGAGCUGAUCAUGGACUACAGGAAAAAGAGGGCCGAACACAUUCACAUCAAAAGGGCUGUAGUGGAGCAGGUCGAGAGUUUCAAUUUCCUUGGUGUCCACCACCGACAAACUAUCAUGGUCCAAACACACCACGAAAGUCAUGAAGAGGGCACGACACCUUUUCCCCCCAAGUCAUAAUACUGCUAAAGAAUUAAUCAAAUGGCCACCCGGAUUAUUUGCAUUGACAACCCCUCCCCCAAUUUGUUUUUACACUGCUGCUACUCGCUGUUUAUUAUCUAUGCAUGGUUACUUUACCGGUACCCCCUGUAUAAAGUGUCAUUAUUGUUCUUUUAUUGUUACUUAUUUUUUAAGUUCUUUUUACUUGAUUAAAUAUUUUCUUUACUCUAUUUUCUCAAAACUGCAGUGUUAGUUAAGGGCUUGUAAGUAAGCAUUUCACGGUAAGGUCUACACCUGUUGUAUUCGGCGCAUGUGACAAAUACAAUUUGAUUUGAUCUGAGGUAUGUGAAACUCAAUCAUAAUAAAAGUAAAUACACUAAUGUUAUUAUAAGAAUAAUCAUUAUUAUAUUAAUAGGCCUGAUUUAACAGUAUGUUAGGAUCUUCUUCAUCACCAUCCUCAUGAGUAGGCAUAGGCCAAUGAUAAUGUAGGCCUAUAAUCUGUGUCAACAUGUAUCCUUUCAGACAUUUUCUUUAAAAAAUGUAAUGCAAUGUUAUGUAUGCUUAAUUAGCACCUUGUUUAUCACUCUAAACUUCUAUCCUAUUUAUAUAUUUCCUUCCAUUGCCAUUGACACACUAUGGAAAUAUGUUGGCUUACUGUCAAGCACUUGGCUACCAAACAAACACUCAAAGUGCUAAAACCUUUCUCUGUGAACCAUUACAAGUGUCUAUAUCCUGUUUAAGGUACUAUUUCAAGGUAAAAGACAACAUAUAUAAAGAAUAUAGCUCAGAGCAUGGUCUCUAACCAAUCCCAUUUCAUUAGCAGGUUGUGGGAAUGUUGGCACUUAACUCAUCUGGCCACAGGCUGAACAGAUAAAUGGUGACUGGUUGUUGUAGCCUGACAGAGAUCCAAUGUGGGUCAGUAACACAUUCACAGGUACACUGCUGCCAUGACGUGAAACACAGAACCCUGUUUGUGAUCUCUCUCACUGUCGAUCGACCUCCACCAAACCCACCCAGUUACACAAAACAUCUAUGACCGGAAGUUCCUCCUGGAGUGUCAAACCUCCCCUCUGACAUGCACCCCUCCCUGUCUUCCUGAUAUUCCAGGGGUAACCAACCCCCUCUCAAACAACACUACGACUGACACAGCCCACCCCAAACAGACCCCCAACAACCACAAUCCCCCAGUAGACAAGAGUGCAGGGGAGGAUGCUCAAUUUGAAAUGGACAUUUAGCCAUUUGAUGGAUCUGCUGGAUCUGCAGCCUUGAGGAUGACAAUGAAAGAGUGACUCAUGUUUAAACAGUCUUUUUGGAAACAGCACAGCAUACUGAAAUGAAUGAAGACUGCAUUAUUGAAGUGAUGCAUUAUUAUGUGCAGUCAUAAUUCUAAUCGCUCAGGAAGAGACAAAAUGUACAUACAAUCUCUCUAUUGAUUUAAUAUUAUUUACUAAUUGUUAGUCAUUAACCUGUCUUAAAGAUGAAGCAUUUGAAUGAUAUGUUUGAGUCUUCUCCAGUAGCAUUUUGUUGUAUUCGGGUAAUACGUUGUUGAUUGUAAAACUAGGGCUACAUUUUGCAGAAUAAUUUUUCUCCAGAAGAACUAAUAAAUUACAAACAUACUUUCUA